UUACAGGGAGGUAGUGACAAGAAAUAACAAUACAGGGCCUAACGGUCUUGUAAUUGGAAUGAGUUAAGUAUAAACCCCUUUACAAGUAGCAAUUGGAGGGCAAGUCUGGUGCCAGCAGCCGCGGUAAUUCCAGCUCCAAUAGCGUAUAUUAAAGUUGUUGCAGUUAAAAAGCUCGUAGUUGGAUUUCUGUUAAUACUUAUAUACAAUACCACGGUAUUUAUAUAACAUUAACAUAAUUCACAUUACUUAUUUAAAGUAUGUGAAACUUUACUUUGAGAAAAUUAGAGUGCUUAAAGCAGGCUAUUGCCUUGAAUACUCCAGCAUGGAAUAAUAUUAAAGAUUUUUAUCUUUCUUAUUGGUUCUAGGAUAAAAAUAAUGAUUAAUAGGGACAGUUGGGGGCAUUUGUAUUUAACAGUCAGAGGUGAAAUUCUUAGAUUUGUUAAAGACAAACUACUGCGAAAGCAUUUGCCAAGGAUGUUUUCAUUAAUCAAGA
rnacentral:rRNA from 1 species